rnacentral:rRNA from 1 species
GACGAACGCUGGCGGCGUGCUUAACACAUGCAAGUCGAACGGAAAGGCCCUGCUUUUGUGGGGUGCUCGAGUGGCGAGCGGGUGAGUAACACGUGAGUAACCUGCCCUUGACUUUGGGAUAACUUCAGGAAACUGGGGCUAAUACCGGAUAGGAGCUCCUGCUGCAUGGUGGGGGUUGGAAAGUUUCGGCGGUUGGGGAUGGACUCGCGGCUUAUCAGCUUGUUGGUGGGGUAGUGGCUUACCAAGGCUUUGACGGGUAGCCGGCCUGAGAGGGUGACCGGCCACAUUGGGACUGAGAUACGGCCCAGACUCCUACGGGAGGCAGCAGGGGGGAAUAUUGCACAAUGGGCGGAAGCCUGAUGCAGCAACGCCGCGUGCGGGAUGACGGCCUUCGGGUUGUAAACCGCUUUCGCCUGUGACGAAGCGUGAGUGACGGUAAUGGGUAAAGAAGCACCGGCUAACUACGUG